rnacentral:rRNA from 1 species
UGGGGAAUAUUGCACAAUGGGCGAAAGCCUGACGCAGCAACGCCGCGUGAGUGAUGAAGGUCUUCGGAUUGUAAAGCUCUGUCUUUUGGGACGAUAAUGACGGUACCAAAGGAGGAAGCCACGGCUAACUACGUGCCAGCAGCCGCGGUAAUACGUAGGUGGCGAGCGUUGUCCGGAUUUACUGGGCGUAAAGGGUGCGUAGGCGGAUGUUUAAGUGAGAUGUGAAAUACCCGGGCUUAACUUGGGUGCUGCAUUUCAAACUGGAUAUCUAGAGUGCAGGAGAGGAGAAUGGAAUUCCUAGUGUAGCGGUGAAAUGCGUAGAGAUUAGGAAGAACACCAGUGGCGAAGGCGAUUCUCUGGACUGUAACUGACGUUGAGGCACGAAAGCGUGGGUAGCAAACAGGAUUAGAUACCCUGGUAGUCCACGCCGUAAACGAUGAGUACUAGGUGUAGGAGGUAUCGACCCCUUCUGUGCCGCAGUAAACACAUUAAGUACUCCGCCUGGGAAGUACGAUCGCAAGAUUAAAAC